AACGAACGCUGGCGGCAGGCCUAACACAUGCAAGUCGAACGCCGUAGCAAUACGGAGUGGCAGACGGGUGAGUAACGCGUGGGAACGUACCUUUCGGUUCGGAAUAACCCGGGGAAACUCGGGCUAAUACCGGAUACGUCCGCAAGGAGAAAGAUUUAUCGCCGAAAGAUCGGCCCGCGUCGGAUUAGCUAGUUGGUGAGGUAACGGCCCACCAAGGCGACGAUCCGUAGCUGGUCUGAGAGGAUGAUCAGCCACACUGGGACUGAGACACGGCCCAGACUCCUACGGGAGGCAGCAGUGGGGAAUAUUGGACAAUGGGCGAAAGCCUGAUCCAGCCAUGCCGCGUGAGUGAAGAAGGCCUUAGGGUUGUAAAGCUCUUUCAGCGGGGAAGAUAAUGACGGUACCCGCAGAAGAAGUCCCGGCUAACUUCGUGCCAGCCGCCGCCGUAAAAC
rnacentral:rRNA from 1 species